UCCAUGCCGUAAACGAUGCCCGCUAGAUAGUCGUCCCGCCGAACGCAUAAUUGAUUUAUGCGCUGGGCGGGAUGGCUGUCGUAAGGUAACCCGUUAAGCGGGCCGCCUGGGUAGUACAUUCGCAAGAAUAAAACUCAAAGGAAUUGACGGGGAACCGCACAAGCGGUGGAGCGCGUGGUUUAAUUGGAUGAUAAGCCAAGAACCUUACCGGGGUUUGACAUCCCGCUGCAAUCUCGAUGAAAGUCGGGAGGCCUUUUAAGGGUGCGGGACAGGUGUUGCACGGCUGUCGUCAGCUCGUGU
rnacentral:rRNA from 1 species